rnacentral:rRNA from 1 species
UACGUAGGGGGCAAGCGUUGUCCGGAAUCAUUGGGCGUAAAGCGCGCGUAGGUGGCUUCGUAAGUCCGUUGUGAAAGUCAAAGGCUCAACCUUUGAAUGCCGAUGGAUACUGCGGAGCUAGAGUACGGAAGAGGCGAGUGGAAUUCCUGGUGUAGCGGUGGAAUGCGCAGAUAUCAGGAGGAACACCAAUAGCGAAGGCAGCUCGCUGGGACGGUACUGACGCUGAGACGCGAAAGCGUGGGGAGCAAACAGG